CCGGAAGCUGUGCUGUAUCCGACGCUCGUAGUCUAGGGUACCCUUCAGGAUGAGCUCACCGGAUCUUGUGAUGGCGAACCUCUCGAGAUCCUCGCCCGCCCCGACCAGCCAGAACCUCAAGUUCUACAGUUAGGUAACGUGUGAAGAGAUCCGUUUACCGGCUGUGGGUCCGGCGCCGAGUCCUCCCUCCCGAGCGACGACGACAGUUGCCAGAGCGUAUCGAUCCGGAUUGUCAACCUGGGUCGCCUGCGAUUGCCAUGAAUGGAACAACAUAGACAUUACGAGAACAUCGAAUCACCUUUAUCACCAGCGUCGUGGGUGCGACGACCUCGUGGUCCCUCAGGCUUCUGGUGAGCACC
rnacentral:lncRNA from 1 species